rnacentral:misc_RNA from 13 species
UUGAAAAAAAUCCGAAAAUCUAACAUAUGACAGACAGAGAGUAUUGAUUAGCAUAGCCCCUGCGCCAGGAUUACAAACAAAAACAUGAAGCGUUUCACAUUUUU